AACGAACGCUGGCGGCAGGCCUAACACAUGCAAGUCGAGCGCCCCGCAAGGGGAGCGGCGGACGGGUGAGUAACGCGUGGGAACGUACCCUUUGCUACGGAAUAGCCUCGGGAAACUGGGAGUAAUACCGUAUGUGCCCUUCGGGGAAGGAUUUAUCGGCAAAGGAUCGGCCCGCGUUGGAUUAGGUAGUUGGUGGGGUAAUGGCCUACCAAGCCGACGAUCCAUAGCUGGUUUGAGAGGAUGAUCAGCCACACUGGGGACUGAGACACGGCCCAGACUCCUACGGGAGGCAGCAGUGGGGGAAUCUUAGACAAUGGGCGCAAGCCUGAUCUAGCCAUGCCGCGUGAGCGAUGAAGGCCUUAGGGUUGUAAAGCUCUUUCAGUGGGGAAGAUAAUGACUGUACCACAGAAGAGCCCGGCUAACUCCGUGCCAGCAGCCGCGGUAAAGUACAGU
rnacentral:rRNA from 1 species